CCAACAUCAGAGGUUGAAUUAUUCCUAUCAUUUGUUAGCCACUUUAUAAAGGUCAAGAAUUAAAACACACUAUGUCUGAUGAAGUUUUUAGCACAACUUUGGCAUAUACAAAGAGUCCAAAAGUCACCAAAAGAACUACUUUCCAGGAUGAGCUAAUAAAAGCAAUUACAGCUCGCUCAGCCAGACAGAGAAGUUCUGAAUACUCAGAUGACUUUGACAGUGAUGAGACUGUUUCCUUAGGUGAUUUUUCUGACACCUCAGUAGAUGAAAAUUCAGUUAAGAAAAAAAUGAAUAAUUUUCACAUAUCAGAUGAUGAAGAAAACAAUUCUCCCAAACUGUCUUUUUUGAAAACCAAGAAAUCAAGCAAUGAUGUGAGGAAACAUGAGCCAGUAGUCUCUAUCAAAAACGAUGACAUUGCACUUGAUAAUGGUGAAGGCAUGAUUGUAAAUCCCUUACCUGAAUCUCAAAGUAAACAACAGGAAGUUGAAAAAGAGAAAAUUAAAAUGGAAACUAAACCUAGAAUUCUUCCAAUCAAAAGUACAUCUUCAGAAAAUAACAGCAGCCUUGAAGCAGACAGCCAAUUUAAGCCUUCACCUCGACCCAGGAGCAUGUUGAAAAAGCACAGCCAUGGGGAGAAGAAAGAUAGCCUAGGAGACAAUAGAGAAACUGUCCCACACGAAGAUUUAGAGGCACAUUCCACACCUUCGUUCCUCCCAAGGCUGAAUGACAGACAGCCAGAAGCUGAGAAGAAUGCAUUCUCUGAAAACCUUGAUCCUGAGGAUCCACGGUUAACAAGUAUACCAUCAUCAUCUGUUAAAGAAAAUCUUAAAGAUUCCUUUUCACUAGGAUCUGAGGAGAAAGCCUCCAUUACAGAUCAGAAUGAAGAACGCACUGAAAGCCAUAAUUCCUUGAAAUCAACCGAAAAUGAAAAGAACUCCUUUUUGAUAGACUUUGUUACUACUGCACUUGAGAAACCCAAGGAAAUUCAAGUGACUGUUGGUGAGGUUGAAGAAGAAAAGGAGAAAGCUGAACUGAUUAUGAAUGAUGACUUAACAGCUGAAGAUCCACCACCACUGCAACUUCAGAGUAUCUUAUGUACUGAGUCUUCAAAGGAGUGGUUAGAAAAGAAAAAUAUUUAUUUACAUGAAAUGCACAGAAUUAAAAGAAUUGAAAGUGAAAACUUAAGGAUUCAAAAUGAACAGAAGAGAGCUGCUAAGAGAGAAGAAGCCUUAGCAUCAUUUGAGGCCUGGAAAGCCAUGAAAGAAAAGGAAGCAAAGAAGAUAGCUGCAAAAAAAAGGCUUGAGGAAAAAAACAAAAAGAAAACUGAAGAAGAAAAUGCUAUGAGAAAAGGAGAAGCAUUGCAAGUAUGCAAUAGCUUUAAUAUCUUUCUUAAUUUUAAAUAUUUGAAAAUUAGUGAUUAUCUGUACUUUAACUAUUUUAUUAUAUUCACAUUCAAUAAGAAGGUAAUUCUUAACUUCUUCAGGCUUUUGAAAACUGGAAAGCAAAAAAGAUGGAAUACCUUAAGGAGAAAAAUAAAAAAGAGAAAGAAUGUGAAAGAGCAAAGAAACAGAAAGAGGAGGAAACUGUUGCUGAGAAAAGAAAAGAUAACUUAACUGCUGUUGAAAAAUGGAAUGAAAAAAAGGAAGUUUUUUUCAAGGAAAAGGAAAAAGUAAAAAUACAUGAGAAAAGAAAAGAAGAACUGAAAAGAGCUGAGAAAAAAGAAAAAGAUAAACAAGCUCUCGAGGAAUAUGAAAAAUGGCUG
rnacentral:lncRNA from 1 species